rnacentral:ribozyme from 14 species
GAAGAACCAGAAGCAAAAGGUAGAGAAAGGAAAGCUGCAACAACAAAAUAGAGAAAAGAAGUUGCAACAACAAAACAUGUAGUUUCAAAGUUUUAUCAUUUUUAUAUAUUAACUGUUUUUCUGGACAUUGAACAAAUAAAACCAAGGCACAAAAAAAUUAGAAC